UACGAAGGGGGCUAGCGUUGCUCGGAAUCACUGGGCGUAAAGCGCACGUAGGCGGCUUGUUAAGUCAGGGGUGAAAUCCUGGAGCUCAACUCCAGAACUGCCUUUGAUACUGGCGAUCUUGAGUUCGGGAGAGGUGAGUGGAACUGCGAGUGUAGAGGUGAAAUUCGUAGAUAUUCGCAAGAACACCAGUGGCGAAGGCGGCUCACUGGCCCGGUACUGACGCUGAGGCACGAAAGCGUGGGGAGCAAACAGG
rnacentral:rRNA from 1 species